rnacentral:misc_RNA from 1 species
AAGUCGUAACAAGGUUUCCGUAGGUGAACCUGCGGAAGGAUCAUUAUUGAAUUUCAUAAACUGGAGUUGUUUCAAUGUGGGAGGACUUGAUGCUGGCCUUUUUUUCUUUAAUAGGGGAAAGGGCACUGUGCACGUCUUUUCUUUGGGGCCUCUCCUUUUUAUUAAUCCAAUCUUACACCUGUGAACCAUGAGAAAAAGGAGGUUUUCUGGUAGGGUUUUUUCGGAAGCCUGGAUGAAAGCUCUUUCUUUUUCUUUUAUUAUACACACACCAUUGAUAUAUAUAAGAACUUUAUUAUUAUUUAAACAAAUAAUACAACUUUCAACAACGGAUCUCUUGGCUCUC